rnacentral:lncRNA from 1 species
UAAAAUUUAGGAACAAUCUCAAUGUGGGAGGAUGUAGAGAUUGACCAGGGGUGUUAAGAUAUUUGGUGUAUCUUGUAAAUCGGGUUGAGAUUGUUAUGAUCGACUAGAUGUAGAUGAGAUAGAUUAGAAUGUUGUUAACUUUCUUUAUAAACAAGUUUCCCCUUGUACAAGCCACGCCGAGGGUUGUUCCCGAGCCUAUUUAACACGGAGCCGUGAACCCUAGCAGGUAUCACGUUCAAGCUGAAUGCACUAUCCUUUGUGCGGUAGGCUAUUUCCUGGCACCUUCCAUUCCUAUAGAGGAGGCUUUGUGUCGACAUUUUACUAGCUCCCCUUCCAUUAUUCUCCAUCGCAUUGUGUGUUGUUUUCUUUUGAUAGCGUAGGGGUAGGGGGACACAUGCCAUUAUGCCCAAUAUAUAAAGGUUCUGUGGUACUUGCGAAGCAUCUAGCCCAACAGAGGUGCAUAUCUGCAGCAUUCAAUCCUACUGAUAUCUCCUACCUAAAAUUUUGAACGUCUCCAUCUUUCAGCAAAACAUGCAUUAUUCUGUUGUGCUUCUACUUCUUCAAAUAAAGAUUUAUCACCAUCGUUCUCCCAAUAGCGAGCAUUCAAAAAAAUCUUGUAACAAUGAUGCAGUCUCCCUCUAUCUUCAGUGUCAACAGAGGAAGCUUUAAUUACUAGUGCACCUUCCAUUCUUCUCCGUUGCAUAGGGGGUGUUUGU